CAAAAGUCUCAUUGACUUUGAGAGGAAUUUUACUCAAGUAAGGACUGCAGGAAUUGUGCCACAACACCGCAAUAUAGACUAAUUAAGUGUCAUAGGCAGUACAAAUGAAGCAGCAGCAAUUGAUUAUACAUCACUGACAGCAUAAAACAGAACAAACAGACAGUUCCUUCCAUGAAAAGCCCAGGGUGAAGAUUCCAAUCUAUUCCAACUGAUCUUUAUUCAGAAAGAAUAAAGGGUGGAAUAGGCUGACAACUUUAUUUGGCUAAUGAUUAAUAUCUUUGCUUUGUUCUGGCCUGAAGGAUAACCACAAACUAUUAGACAAGAGUGUGAUGAAAUAUGGUUUGCAAGCAGUUUUAAGUCAGUCUUGAAAAUGCAAGGUACUAAAUCCAUGAGGCUAUGUCAAAACCAGAUCACUGUGUUGCA